rnacentral:rRNA from 1 species
UAGGGAAUCUUCCGCAAUGGACGAAAGUCUGACGGAGCAACGCCGCGUGAGUGAAGAAGGAUUUCGGUUCGUAAAACUCUGUUGCUAGGGAAGAAAAAAUGUAUAGUAACUAUAUACAAAAGAGACGGUACCUAACCAGAAAGCCACGGCUAACUACGUGCCAGCAGCCGCGGUAAUACGCAGGUGGCAAGCGUUGUCCGGAAUUAUUGGGCGUAAAGCGCGCGCAGGUGGUUUAGAAAGUCUGAUGUGAAAGACCACGGCUCAACCGUGGAGGGUCAUUGGAAACUAAUAAACUUGAGUGCAGGAGAGAAAAGUGGAAUUCCUGGUGUAGCGGUGAAAUGCGUAGAGAUUAGGAGGAACACCGGUGGAGAAAGAGGCUUUUUGGCCUGAAAAUGACACUGAGGCGCGAAAGCGUGGGGAGCAAACAGG